GCCCGCAGAGCCAGCCCCCGACCCCGGGCCACCCGGGCCCCCGGGUUCCGCUGGCAGUCUCGCCACCACCGCGUGGGUGCCCAAUUACCUGCCCUCGGUGAGCUCAGCCAUCGGUGGGGAGGUGCCCCAGCGCUACGUGUGGCGUUUCUGCAUCGGCCUGCACUCGGCGCCUCGCUUCUUGGUGGCCUUCGCCUACUGGAACCACUACCUCAGCUGUACCUCCCCGUGUUCCUGCUAUCGCCCGCUCUGCCGCCUCAACUUCGGCCUCAAUGUCGUGGAGAACCUCGCGUUGCUAGUGCUCACUUAUGUCUCCUCCUCUGAGGACUUCACCGUCCAUGAAAAUGCUUUCAUUGUGUUCAUUGCCUCAUCCCUCGGGCACAUGCUCCUCACCUGCAUUCUCUGGCGGUUGACCAAGAAGCACACAGUAAGUCAGGAGGUACGGUCUAUCCCUAGCGGGGGCUCCAAGUCAGCCCAGAAGAAAAUCAAGGACAUCUGUCCUCAGGAUUCGGGUAAUGGUGAGGUGGGAACUGAGUUCUAAUGGGAACCCUGGCAGAGGGGUGCUGGGGUUGGGGCUGGGGCUUGGGAACAAACUGAGGGUGGUUGGUCAGAAUCUAGGACUAUAGCACUGUGUUUGGGUAGUGUGGGAGACUGGAGAAUAGAAAAGAUGGAGGCUGCAAAUGGGGAUAGAAUGAGGAGUCGCAUCUAGGCGGCAGUGAGGAACAGUGUCAGAGGACUGGUCUGUCAUAAUUCCAGCGUCCCACCCAUGUACAUGGGUUUCUUUUCCCCCA
rnacentral:sRNA from 1 species